rnacentral:rRNA from 1 species
CCAGUAUUAGAGGCACUGCCUGCCCAGUGACAUCAGUUAAACGGCCGCGGUAUCCUGACCGUGCAAAGGUAGCAUAAUCAUUCGUUCCCUAAAUAGGGACUUGUAUGAAUGGCCACACGAGGGCUUUACUGUCUCUUACUUCCGAUCCGUGAAAUUGACCUUCCCGUGAAGAGGCGGGAAUAUGACAAUAAGACGAGAAGACCCUAUGGAGCUUUAAUUAACCGACCCAAAGAGAUCUUAACAACUAACCGAUAGGGACAACAAACCUCUACCAUGGGUCGACAAUUUAGGUUGGGGUGACCUCGGAGAAUAAAACAACCUCCGAGUGAUUUAAAUCUAGACUAACCAGUCGAAAGUACUACAUCACUUAUUGAUCCAAAAACUUGAUCAACGGAACAAGUUACCCUAGGGAUAACAGCGCAAUCCUAUUU